UUGAUUUAUUUGUUUUGCCUUGCGGCGUAUUCAGAAGAUGCUGAUAAUACAAGAGUUUAAGGGUCCCCGGCGGCCGCUGGUCCAGUCCGCGUCCGGCUGGGGCGAGUCCGCCGAAGCAACAAUAGGUAUGUUCACAGGGGUUUGGGAGUUGUAAACUCGGUAAUGAUCCCUCCGCUGGUUCACCAACGGAGA
rnacentral:misc_RNA from 1 species